GCCGACCUAGCUCAACGGUAGAGCAAUGCUUUCGUAAAGCAUAGGUUGAGGGUUCGAUUCCCUCGGUCGGCU
rfam:Microgenomates (Curtissbacteria) bacterium GW2011_GWA2_41_24 TT56_C0030, whole genome shotgun sequence.